AGCGAACGCUGGCGGCAGGCCUAACACAUGCAAGUCGAACGAACCUUUCGGGGUUAGUGGCGGACGGGUGAGUAACACGUGGGAACGUGCCUUUAGGUUCGGAAUAACUCAGGGAAACUUGUGCUAAUACCGCAUGUGCCCUUCGGGGGAAAGAUUUAUCGCCUUUAGAGCGGCCCGCGUCUGAUUAGCUAGUUGGUUGAGGUAAUGGCUCACCAAGGCGACGAUCAGUAGCUGGUCUGAGAGGAUGAUCAGCCACAUUGGGACUGAGACACGGCCCAAACUCCUACGGGAGGCAGCAGUGGGGAAUCUUGCGCAAUGGGCGAAAGCCUGACGCAGCCAUGCCGCGUGAAUGAUGAAGGUCUUAGGAUUGUAAAAUUCUUUCACCGGGGACGAUAAUGACGGUACCCGGAGAAGAAGCCCCGGCUAACUUCGUG
rnacentral:rRNA from 1 species